AAAAAGCUUAGCUCCUGUGGCUGUGAGCCAUGACAGAUAACAAGCUUCAAUGAGUAGCUUUAGUUUAUAACAUGCUCCAUUUAAUUGUCGGUAACAGUGACGCCGUUGAAACGAUUACUCUUUCUUGAAAAAGAUUAACGUUAUGGAGUGGCCAACCUCAUCUCUGGACCUUAAUCCAGCAGAAAACCUGUGGAUUGGAAUCAAACAUGUAGACCAACCAUCUACAUACAGUCAGGAGGAUUGCUUCCACCUGCUCCUGCCCUUCCAGAUCCCUAAUCACCUCACCUGUGCUCCUGCCUUUUUAAGCAGCUUUCUGUCAGACAAACAUUGCCAGAUUUUCAAAAGCGUUUGUGUCGGAUACUUCAUUGGCUUCUGCUUUCUGGACAGACGACUUUGCUUCUGCCUCCUGACCAACCCUCUCUGCCUAACCUUUGACCUCGCUUCUGUGCCCCGACCCACGAUUCAAGCCUCUCCCUUGGAUCCUGUUGCGUGAUUCUGUCCUCCCGGCUCUGACCCAGUUUCCGUCCCCUGACCACGACCUUCUGCUCAGUCACUGGGUUUGCAAACCUGACAGCCAGUGUGACGUAGCCCUGCUGCCUCCUAACAAUCACACUGAGGAGCCGAAAAUCAGUUUCCUGAUCCUCUCACGGAUUCUGAGUUUUGCUAUAUUCUUAGUUCUUCGCUCAGCCACUAACCAGUCUCUCUGUCUCCAGAUGUUCAUGUGCCUACCGCUGGUGGUUUCCUGCCGAACGCCUUCCGGAAAGAUCAAUAAAUCUUUU